GGCUCCUUAGCUCAGUUGGUUAGAGCGUCGUGCUAAUAACGCGAAGGUCGUGGGUUCGAUCCCCCCAGGAGCCA